GCUGACGAGUGGCGGACGGGUGAGUAAUGUCUGGGAAACUGCCUGAUGGAGGGGGAUAACUACUGGAAACGGUAGCUAAUACCGCAUAACGUCGCAAGACCAAAGAGGGGGACCUUCGGGCCUCUUGCCAUCGGAUGUGCCCAGAUGGGAUUAGCUAGUAGGUGGGGUAACGGCUCACCUAGGCGACGAUCCCUAGCUGGUCUGAGAGGAUGACCAGCCACACUGGAACUGAGACACGGUCCAGACUCCUACGGGAGGCAGCAGUGGGGAAUAUUGCACAAUGGGCGCAAGCCUGAUGCAGCCAUGCCGCGUGUAUGAAGAAGGCCUUCGGGUUGUAAAGUACUUUCAGCGGGGAGGAAGGGAGUAAAGUUAAUACCUUUGCUCAUUGACGUUACCCGCAGAAGAAGCACCGGCUAACUCCGUGCCAGCAGCCGCGGUAAUACGGAGGGUGCAAGCGUUAAUCGGAA
rnacentral:rRNA from 1 species